UGCGGGGGAGCUCGUGGAUCACGCGUUGGAGGCAGGGCGGGCGAGGGACCUCGCUGGUUGGCUGCACGCGCAAAAUGAGGAGGAUGGAAUGGUUUCUGGAUCGGAUGAUCCCGAUGAGGCUUCGUUCGGUUAGGCCUUCCCCCGCCGGGAUCGACGCGGAAACCCGGUCAAACCCCGGGGUUUUGCCCUGACCGGGAUUAAAUACCUGUGAACCAGUUAACUAUCUUCG
rnacentral:lncRNA from 1 species